GGACUACUCGGGUUUCUAAUCCCGUUCGCUCCCCUGGCUUUCGUGUCUCAGCGUCAGCAGGCCCCCAGCAGACUGUCUUCACCUUCGGCGUUCCAAGUGAUAUCUACGCAUUUCACCGCUCCACCACUUGUUCCAUCUGCCCCUAGGCCGCUCAAGCCCGCCAGUAUGCCCAGCCGUUCCGCGGUUGAGCCGCGGGAUUUCACAAGACACUUAACGGGCCGCCUACACACGCUUUAAGCCCAGUGAUUCCGCCUAACGCUCGGCACCUCUGUCUUACCGCGGCUGCUGGCAC
rnacentral:rRNA from 1 species